rnacentral:misc_RNA from 1 species
UUUCCGUAGGUGAACCUGCGGAAGGAUCAUUACAGAGUUCAUGCCCUUACGGGUAGAUCUCCCCCCCUUUGAUAUAUUUACCUUUGUUGCUUUUGCCGGUCGCGGCCUCCGCUGCUUGCCCUUGGGCUAGUUUGUGCCUGCCAGAGGACCCAACUCUUGAUUUUAGUGAUGUCUGACUUCCAGAUAAUAGUUAAUACUUUCAACAACGGAUCUCUUGGUUCUG